rnacentral:misc_RNA from 1 species
UUAAGUUCAGCGGGUAUCCCUACCUGAUCCGAGGUCAACCUUGAUAGAAUUGGGGUUGCUGGCCAGCGCGCACCCGGGUCUCCAGAAGCGAGAGUGUUACUACGCUUGAAGCCGGAUGGCACCGCCACUGAUUUUGAGGCCCGCCGGAACCGGCGAGGCCCAACACCAAGCAGAGCUUGAGGGUUGUAAUGACGCUCGAA